UGUGGGAGCGAGCUUGCUCGCGAAAGCGGUGUGUCAGGUACCAAUACUUCAACUGACCCUACGCAUUCGCGAGCAAGCUCGCUCCCACA
rnacentral:misc_RNA from 1 species